AAUCACUUGAGCCCAGGAGGUCAAGGUUGCAGUGAACUGUGAUCAUUCCACUGCACUCCAGCCUGGGUGACAGAGCAAGUCCCUGUCUCAAAAAAAAAAAAAAAAAAAAAAGUGAGAGGCAUGGAUAGAGCUGAACUUUCGUCUUUUAGGCAUGUGGUCAUUUGGCACAGGGACUCUGCCACCAGAGGGGUUGAAGGCCAGUUCUCCCUCUAUUCGAGGCAUGGCAAGGGACUUCAGAGACUACCUCAUCCAUCAUAUAUCCCUGUUCUACUCACCAGCCCUGCAGGAGCGCUAUGGGAAAGAAGCCGGGAAGUUCUCAGCUGUCAGUGAGGGCCAGGGGGACCCCCCAGGGGGCCCUGCCCCCACCGUCCUGGCCCCCAUGCCGUUGGCAGAGGUGGAGCUGAAAUGGGAAAUGGAGAAAGAGGAGAAGAGAUUGCUCUGGGAACAGCUGCAAGACUUAGAGAGCUCAAAGCAGGCUGAAACAUCCAGGCUGCAAGAGGAACUUGCUAAGCUCUCCGAGAAACUGAAAAAGAAACAAGAAAGUUUUUGCCGUCUGCAGACAGAAAAGGAGACUCUAUUUAAUGACAGCAGGAACAAGAUUGAGGAAUUACAACAACGGAAGGAAGCUGAUCACAAAGCCCAGUUGGCUCGAACCCAGAAGCUGCAGCAGGAACUUGAGGCUGCCAAUCAGAGCUUGGCAGAGCUGAGAGAUCAGUGGCAGGGGGAGCGCCUGGAACAUGCAGCCGCUUUGCGGGCCCUACAAGAUCAGGUAUCCAUCCAGAGUGCAGAUGCACAGGAGCAAGUGGAAGGGCUUUUGGCUGAGAAUAAUGCCUUGAGGACUAGCCUGGCUGCCCUGGAGCAGAUCCAAACAGCAAAGACCCAAGAACUGAAUAUGCUCCGGGAACAGACCACUGGGCUGGCAGCUGAGUUGCAGCAGCGGCAGGCUGAGUACGAGGACCUUAUGGGACAGAAAGAUGACCUCAACUCCCAGCUCCAGGAGUCAUUACGGGCCAAUAGUCGGCUGCUGGAACAACUUCAAGAAAUAGGGCAGGAGAAGGAGCAGUUGACCCAGGAAUUACAGGAGGCUCGGAAGAGUGCUGAGAAGCGGAAGGCCAUGCUGGAUGAGCUAGCAAUGGAAACGCUGCAAGAGAAGUCCCAGCACAAGGAAGAGCUGGGAGCAGUUCGUCUACGGCAUGAGAAGGAGGUGCUGGGGGUGCGUGCCCGCUAUGAGCGUGAGCUCCGAGAGCUGCAUGAAGACAAGAAGCGUCAGGAGGAGGAGCUCCGUGGGCAGAUCCGGGAGGAGAAGGCCCGGACACGGGAGCUGGAGACUCUUCAGCAGACAGUGGAAGAACUUCAAGCUCAGGUACACUCCAUGGAUGGAGCCAAGGGCUGGUUUGAACGGCGCUUGAAGGAAGCCGAGGAAUCCCUGCAGCAGCAGCAGCAGGAACAAGAGGAAGCCCUCAAGCAGUGUCGGGAGCAGCACGCUGCCGAGCUGAAGGGCAAGGAAGAGGAGCUACAGGAUGUGCGGGAUCAGCUCCAGCAGGCCCAGGAGGAGCGGGACUGCCACCUGAAGACCAUUAGCAGCCUGAAGCAGGAGGUGAAGGACACAGUGGAUGGGCAGAGGAUCCUGGAGAAGAAGGGCAGUGCUGCGCUCAAGGACCUCAAGCGGCAACUGCAUUUGGAGCGGAAACGAGCAGAUAAGCUGCAGGAGCGGCUGCAGGACAUCCUCACUAACAGCAAGAGCCGCUCAGGCCUUGAGGAGCUGGUUCUCUCAGAGAUGAACUCACCAAGCCGGACCCAGACAGGAGACAGCAGUAGCAUCUCCUCCUUCAGCUACCGGGAGAUCUUGCGGGAAAAGGAGAGCUCGGCUGUUCCAGCCAGGGUAAGGGGAAAGGAAGAACCUACAGCUCCAGCUUCUCUCAACCCAAAAAUCUGAGAACCCCUCCCCUUUUCUCCUCACCUAAAUCUAUCUCCUACUUUGGGCACAGCACACAUAUUUUCUUGUCAACUUUUCCCCAAGCCCACCAACUUGGAUUCAGAUUGCUACAUGCAGGACGGGCCAAUCAUUCUCUCUCUCUCUCUGACUUUCUGUUUCAUCAUCUGUGGGCUAAUUCCCCCUUCUCUGGUGCCAUAAAGUAUGUGGCUCAUAGUAGGUACACCAUCCAAGGAGAAGGUCCCUUUUUCCAACUUGUAAUGAUCACUAAUUAUUAUUGCCGGCUGUCAUGUCAGCCUCCUUACCAGCCACUUUCCUUUGGAAAUAACUUUUUUAUUGUUCCACAAAUAGUUUGUGCGCAUUGUAGUACAUUUUUUAAAAACCACAAAUGAGCAAAGAUUUUUUUAAAACCUUAAAUGUCUGGCCGGGUGUGGUGGCUCAUCCCUAUAAUCCUAGCACUUUGGGAGGCCAAGGUGGGCGGAUCACUUGAGCUCAGGAGUUUAAGACCAGCCUGGGAAACAUGGUGAAACUCCGACUCUAUUUAAAACAAAAACAAAAACAAAAAAACCUUAAAUGUCAAAAAAAUAAUAUUUUCACCAUCCAAAAGUCACCAUUAUAAAUUCUUAGUUCAGGGCUGGGCGCGGUGGCUCAUGCCUGUAACCCCAGCACUUUGGGAGGCUGAGGUGGGCAGAUCACUUGAGGUUAGGAGUUUAAGAACUGGCCUGGCCAACAUAGCAAAACCUCGUCUCUACUAAAAUACAAAAAUUAGCCAGGCGUGGUGGUGCGUGCCUGUAGUCCCAGCUACUUGAAAGGUUGAGGCAAGAGAAUCGCUUGAACCUGGGAGGUAGAGGUUGCAAUGAGCCGAGAUCACACCACUGCACUCUAGCCUGGGCAACAGUGAGACUCCAUCUCAAAAAAUAAAUAAAUAAAAUAAAUUCUUAGUUCAUACCCUUCCAGAAUUCUCUCUCUUUUUAAAACCUAGAUGAGAUUAACCUGUUUUUAUUCAACUGUUUUCUCUACCUUCCCAAUUUGAUACAUUUUCAUGUCAUUGACUGAGUGCGGUGGCUCCUGCCUAUAAUCCCAGUACUUUGGGAGGCCGAGGCGGGCAGAUCACUUGAGGUCAGGAGUUCAAGACCAGCCUGGCCAACAUGGUGAAACCCCGUCUCUACUAAAAAUACAAAAAUUAGCUGGGCGUAGUGGCACGUGCCUGUAAUUCCAGCUACUCGGGAGGCUGAGGCAGGAGAAUCACUUGAUCCCGGGAGUUGGAGGUUGCAGUGAGCCAAGAUCUUGCCAUUGCACUCCAGCCUGGGCAACAAGAGCGAAAUUCUGUCUCAAAAAAUAAAUAAAUAAAUAAAUAAAUAAAAUAAA
rnacentral:sRNA from 1 species